CGGCGGUGAUGGCGAGAAGGUCACACCCGUUCCCAUAUCGAACACGGAAGUUAAGCUUCUCAGCGCCGAUGGUAGUUGGGUUUUACCCCUGUGAGAGUAGGACGCUGCCGG
rnacentral:rRNA from 1 species